UGCGUAGGCGGUCGGGUAAGUCUGACGUGAAAUCUUCAAGCUCAACUUGGAAACUGCGUCGGAUACUAUUCGGCUAGAGGAAUGGAGGGGAGACUGGAAUACUUGGUGUAGCAGUGAAAUGCGUAGAUAUCAAGUGGAACACCAGUGGCGAAGGCGAGUCUCUGGACAUUUCCUGACGCUGAGGCAAGCCAGGGGAGCAAACG
rnacentral:rRNA from 1 species